GUGAAGCUGGAUUCGCUAGUAAUCGCGCAUCAGCCAUGGCGCGGUGAAUACGUUCCCGGGCCUUGUACACACCGCCCGUCAAGCCAUGGGAGCCGGGGGUACCUGAAGUGCGUGACCGCAAGGAGCGCCCUAAGGUAAAACCGGUGACUGGGGCUAAGUCGUAACAAGGUAGC
rnacentral:rRNA from 1 species